rnacentral:ncRNA from 1 species
GCCGUUUGCUAGGGGAGCUUUAAGCUGAGAGGAAGGUCAAACCUUCGACCCUCUGAACCUGAACUGGGUAAUUCCAGCGAAGGGAAGCAUUAUAGUUCUCCU